rnacentral:rRNA from 1 species
UACGUAGGGGGCAAGCGUUGUCCGGAAUCAUUGGGCGUAAAGCGCGCGUAGGCGGCCCGGUAAGUCCGCUGUAAAAGUCCAGGGCUCAACCCUGGAAAGCCGGUGGAUACUGUCGGGCUAGAGUCCGGAAGAGGCGAGUGGAAUUCCUGGUGUAGCGGUGGAAUGCGCAGAUAUCAGGAGGAACACCGGUGGCGAAGGCGGGUUGCUGGGCUGAUACUGACGCUGAGGCGCGAAAGCCAGGGGAGCGAACGGG